CACUCCUGCGGGAGGCAGCAGUGGGGAAUUUUGGACAAUGGGCGAAAGCCUGAUCCAGCCAUGCCGCGUGCAGGAUGAAGGCCUUCGGGUUGUAAACUGCUUUCGUACGGAACGAAACGGCCUUUUCUAAUAAAGAGGGCUAAUGACGGUACCGUAAGAAUAAGCACCGGCUAACUACGUGCCAGCAGCCGCGGUAAUACGUAGGGUGCAAGCGUUAAUCGGAAUUACUGGGCGUAAAGCGUGCGCAGGCGGUUAUGUAAGACAGUUGUGAAAUCCCCGGGCUCAACCUGGGAACUGCAUCGGUGACUGCAUAGCUAGAGUACGGUAGAGGGGGAUGGAAUUCCGCGUGUAGCAGUGAAAUGCGUAGAUAUGCGGAGGAACACCGAUGGCGAAGGCAAUCCCCUGGACCUGUACUGACGCUCAUGCACGAAAGCGUGGGGAGCAAACAGGAUUAGAUACCCGAGUAGUCCC
rnacentral:rRNA from 1 species